rnacentral:rRNA from 1 species
UGGGGAAUUUUGCACAAUGGGGGAAACCCUGAUGCAGCGACGCCGCGUGAUUUAGAAGGCCUUCGGGUUGUAAAAAUCUUUUCUAUGGGAAGAAAAUGACAGUACCAUAGGAAUAAGGACCGGCUAAUUACGUGCCAGCAGCCGCGGUAAUACGUAAGGUCCGAGCGUUGUCCGGCAUCAUUGGGCGUAAAGGGUACGUAGGCGGGUAAGCAAGUUAGAAGUGAAAUCCUAUAGCUCAACUAUAGUAAGCUUUUAAAACUGCUCAUCUUGAGGUAUGGAAGGGAAAGUGGAAUUCCUAGUGUAGCGGUGAAAUGCGCAGAUAUUAGGAGGAAUACCGGUGGCGAAGGCGACUUUCUGGCCAUAACCUGACGCUGAGGUACGAAAGCGUGGGUAGCAAACAGG